AAGGCCUUAGCUUAAUUAAAGCGUUUGACUUGCACUCAAUUAAUGUGGGAUAAAGGCCCGCAGGUCUUA
rnacentral:tRNA from 1 species